AGCAGCCGCGGUAAUUCCAGCUCCAAUAGCGUAUAUUAAAGUUGUUGCAGUUAAAAAGCUCGUAGUUGAAUUUCGGGGUCAGCAGGUCGGUCGUGCCAACGGUAUGCACUGGCCUUGCUGAUUCCUCCCUCUUGAUGAGCCGUGAUGCCAUUAGUUCGGUGUCGCGGGGAAUCAGGACUGUUACUUUGAAAAAAUUAGAGUGUUUAAAGCAGGCAUGCGCUUGAAUACAUUAGCAUGGAAUAAUGAAAUAGGACGUUCGAUCCUAUUCUGUUGGUUUCUAGGAUUGACGUAAUGAUUAAUAGGGAUAGUUGGGGGCAUUAGUAUUCAAUUGUCAGAGGUGGAAUUCUUGGAUUUAUUGAAGACUAACUACUGCGAAAGCAUUUGCCAAGGAUGUUUUCAUUAGUCAAGAACGAAAGUUAGGGGAUCGAAGACGACCAGAUACCGUCGUAGUCUUAACCAUAAACUAUGCCGACUAGGGAUCGGAUGAUGUUAAUUUUUUAGUGACUCA
rnacentral:rRNA from 1 species